UAGGGAAUCUUCGGCAAUGGACGAAAGUCUGACCGAGCAACGCCGCGUGAGUGAAGAAGGUUUUCGGAUCGUAAAACUCUGUUGGUAGAGAAGAACGUUGGUGAGAGUGGAAAGCUCAUCAAGUGACGGUAACUACCCAGAAAGGGGCGGCUAACUACGUGCCAGCAGCCGCGGUAAUACGUAGGUCCCGAGCGUUGUCCGGAUUUAUUGGGCGUAAAGCGAGCGCAGGUGGUUUAUUAAGUCUGGUGUAAAAGGCAGUGGCUCAACCAUUGUAUGCAUUGGAAACUGGUAGACUUGAGUGCAGGAGAGGAGAGUGGAAUUCCAUGUGUAGCGGUGAAAUGCGUAGAUAUAUGGAGGAACACCGGUGGCGAAAGCGGCUCUCUGGCCUGUAACUGACACUGAGGCUCGAAAGCGUGGGGAGCAAACAGGAUUAGAUACCCUGGUAGUCCACGCCGUAAACGAUGAGUGCUAGAUGUAGGGAGCUAUAAGUUCUCUGUAUCGCAGCUAACGCAAUAAGCACUCCGCCUGGGGAGUACGACCGCAAGGUUG
rnacentral:rRNA from 1 species